UACGUAGGUGGCAAGCGUUGUCCGGAUUUACUGGGCGUAAAGAGCGCGCAGGCGGUCGUACAAGUCGCGUGUGAAAGCCCCCGGCUCAACUGGGGAGGGUCACGCGAUACUGUUCGACUCGAAGGCAGGAGAGGGAAGCGGAAUUCCCGGUGUAGUGGUGAAAUGCGUAGAUAUCGGGAGGAACACCAGUGGCGAAGGCGGUUACCUGGAGCUUUGCUGACGCUGAUGCGCGAAAGCGUGGGGAGCGAUCCGG
rnacentral:rRNA from 1 species